rnacentral:rRNA from 1 species
CGCUGGUAGGGAUCAUUA